rnacentral:rRNA from 1 species
GACGAACGCUGGCGGCGUGCCUAAUACACGCAAGUGGGACGCAAGGAAACACACUGUGCUUGCACACCGUGUUUUCUUGAGUCGCGAACGGGUGAGUAACGCGUAGGUAACCUGCCUAUUAGCGGGGGAUAACUAUUGGAAACGAUAGCUAAUACCGCAUAAUAUUAAUUAUUGCAUGAUAAUUGAUUGAAAGAUGCAAGCGCAUCACUAGUAGAUGGACCUGCGUUGUAUUAGCUAGUUGGUAAGGUAAGAGCUUACCAAGGCGACGAUACAUAGCCGACCUGAGAGGGUGAUCGGCCACACUGGGACUGAGACACGGCCCAGACUCCUACGGGAGGCAGCAGUAGGGAAUCUUCGGCAAUGGACGAAAGUCUGACCGAGCAACGCCGCGUGAGUGAAGAAGGUUUUCGGUUCGUAAAGCUCUGUUGUAAGUCAAGAACGUGUGUGAGAGUGGAAAGUUCACACAGUGACGGUAGCUUACCAGAAAGGGACGGCUAACUACGUG